GACGAACGCUGGCGGCGUGCUUAACACAUGCAAGUCGAACGGAAAGGCUCCAGCUUGCUGGAGUACUCGAGUGGCGAACGGGUGAGUAACACGUGGGUAAUCUGCCCUGCACUCUGGGAUAAGCCUGGGAAACUGGGUCUAAUACUGGAUAUGACCUUUCUCCUUAUGGGGUUUGGUGGAAAGUUUUUCGGCGUAGGAUGAGCCCGCGGCCUAUCAGCUUGUUGGUGGGGUGAUGGCCUACCAAGGCGACGACGGGUAGCCGGCCUGAGAGGGUGAUCGGCCACAUUGGGACUGAGAUACGGCCCAGACUCCUACGGGAGGCAGCAGUGGGGAAUAUUGCACAAUGGGCGGAAGCCUGAUGCAGCGACGCCGCGUGAGGGAUGACGGCCUUCGGGUUGUAAACCUCUUUCAGCAGGGACGAAGCGUAAGUGACGGUACCUGCAGAAGAAGCACCGGCUAACUAUGUG
rnacentral:rRNA from 1 species